GGGCUGCAGGCGCGAAACUUCUGCAAUGCACGAAAGUGUGACAGAGGGAUUUCGAGUGCAAGUUCUACUUGCUUUUGCCAGCUUUAAAACGGCUGGCGAAUAAGGGGUGGGUAAGAUGCGUGCCAGCCGCCGCGGUAAUACGUACACCCCAAGUGGUAUCCCCUAAUAUUGGGCCUAAAACGUUCGUAGCCGGUUCUGUAAGUCCUUAGUGAAAUCAACGGGCUUAACUCGUUGAAUUGCUAAGGAUACUGCAGAGCUCGAGGUCGGAAGAGGUAAAGGGAAUUUCCGGGGUAGGAGUGAAAUCUUGUGAUCCCGGAAGGACCUCCAGUAGCGAAGGCGCUUUACCAGUACGAGCCUGACGGUGAGGAACGAAAGCUGAGGGAGCGACCCGGAUUAGAUACCCGUGUAGUC
rnacentral:rRNA from 1 species